AAUCAACGCUGGCGGCGUGCCUCAGACAUGCAAGUCGAACGCGAAAGUUUCCUUCGGGGAACAAGUAGAGUGGCGCACGGGUGAGUAACACGUAGGUAAGUCUACCUUUGGAUGGGGAAUAACAACCGGAAACGGUUGCUAAUACCGCAUAAUGCAGCGGCACCUAAAUGGUGACAGUUGUUAAAGCGGGGGAUCGAAAGACCUCGCGUCUGAAGAGGAGCCUGCGGCGGAUUAGCAGUUGUAAGGUAAUGGCUUACCAAGGCUACGAUCCGUAACCGGCCUGAGA
rnacentral:rRNA from 1 species